CUUUUCUUCUUGGGAGCCAUGGAAAUCGUCGGUGUUCUUCCUCCUGUUGCUACAACAGGACUCCGUCCACCGGACCACCGCUCCGACCUCCAUCCCGGCAGACUGCCUCACUGUGAUUGUUUAUUUAUUUAUUUAUUUCAAGAGCUAUAUCCUCCUAGAUGCGGAAGUUAAUGCAAAACUUUCAGACUUUGGCAACCUUGGUACAGAGAUUUCCAGUGCAGAUGAUAUAUAUGUGCGAGGAACAAGCAUAGACUACAACUUUAAUUUGCAGGCAGAUCAGGCGCCCUGUGAGGCAUAACAAACCCCGUCUGUGUUGUCAGCUGCAAUGUUCCGUCUCAUCACUGCAAAGAUUUUAAUUAUAAUCAUAUGUUUUUCAAUAUUAUAUAAGAAAUUUCUACAAUCUUUUACUUCUCAUUGACAAGAAAUUAUAUCAAAUCAUUGUGACCUUUUAGUCAUAAUUUUGUCAUGAAAUAAGGAUUUUUAGGUUGAGUGUAUUAUCUUAACGGAAAAGUUCAAUUCCAAAAUGGUUAAAGACAUUUUUGUUUUUCUUGCUAGAACUUCACUGCACCUGCACCUCCACACAUUUCUUAUAUGCUUUUUCAAAUUUGUGUGGGGGUGCAAGUGCAGGGAGGAAAGUUCUAGCAAGAAAAACAAGAGUGUUUUUGACCAUUUUUCUAGUCAGGGCCAUACAUUCAGCCUAAAAACUCUUAUUUUGUGACAAAA